GACGAACGCUGGCGGCGUGCCUAACACAUGCAAGUCGAACGGGGCAGCAAUGCCCAGUGGCGAACGGGUGCGUAACACGUGAGGAACUUGUCCAUCGGCGGGGGAUAGCCGGCCCAACGGCCGGGUAAUACCGCGUACGUCGGCGAGACCGCAUGGUCUUGCCGGGAAAGCAGCAAUGCACCGAUGGAGAGCCUCGCGGCCUAUCAGCUAGUUGGUGAGGUAAUGGGCUCACCAAGGCGACGACGGGUAGCUGGUCUGAGAGGAUGAUCAGCCACAUUGGGACUGAGACACGGGCCCAGACUCCUACGGGAGGCAGCAGUGGGGAAUAUUGCGCAAUGGGCGAAAGCCUGACGCAGCGACGCCGCGUGUGGGAUGACGGCCUUCGGGUUGUAACCGACUGUCGCGAGGGACGAGAUCUGACGGUACCUCCGAAGGGAAGGCACCGGCGUAACUCUGUGCCAGCAGCCGCGGUAAU
rnacentral:rRNA from 1 species